GACGAACGCUGGCGGCGUGCCUAAUACAUGCAAGUAGAACGCUGAAGGAGGAGAUUGCUUCUCUGGAUGAGUUGCGAACGGGUGAGUAACGCGUAGGUAACCUGCCUGGUAGCGGGGGAUAACUAUUGGAAACGAUAGCUAAUACCGCAUAAUAGUAGAUGUUGCAUGACAUUUGCUUAAAAGGUGCAAUUGCAUCACUACCAGAUGGACCUGCGUUGUAUUAGCUAGUUGGUGGGGUAACGGCUCACCAAGGCGACGAUACAUAGCCGACCUGAGAGGGUGAUCGGCCACACUGGGACUGAGACAAGGCCCAGACUCCUACGGGAGGCAGCAGUAGGGAAUCUUCGGCAAUGGACGGAAGUCUGACCGAACAACGCCGCGUGAGUGAAGAAGGUUUUCGGAUCGUAAAGCUCUGUUGUAAGGGAAGAACGAGUGUGAGAGUAGAAAGUUCACCCUGUGACGGUAUCUUACCAGAAAGGGACGGCUAACUACGUG
rnacentral:rRNA from 1 species